CUACGGGAGGCAGCAGUAGGGAAUCUUCCACAAUGGACGAAAGUCUGAUGGAGCAAUGCCGCGUGAGUGAAGAAGGGUUUCGGCUCGUAAAACUCUGUUGUUAAAGAAGAACACCUUUGAGAGUAACUGUUCAAGGGUUGACGGUAUUUAACCAGAAAGCCACGGCUAACUACGUGCCAGCAGCCGCGGUAAUACGUAGGUGGCAAGCGUUGUCCGGAUUUAUUGGGCGUAAAGCGAGCGCAGGCGGUUUUUUAAGUCUGAUGUGAAAGCCUUCGGCUUAACCGGAGAAGUGCAUCGGAAACUGGGAGACUUGAGUGCAGAAGAGGACAGUGGAACUCCAUGUGUAGCGGUGGAAUGCGUAGAUAUAUGGAAGAACACCAGUGGCGAAGGCGGCUGUCUAGUCUGUAACUGACGCUGAGGCUCGAAAGCAUGGGUAGCGAACAGGAUUAGAUACCCUGGUAGUCCAUGCCGUAAACGAUGAGUGCUAAGUGUUGGAGGGUUUCCGCCCUUCAGUGCUGCAGCUAACGCAUUAAGCACUCCGCCUGGGGAGUACGACCGCAAGGUUGAAACUCAAAGGAAUUGACGGGGGCCCGCACAAGCGGUGGAGCAUGUGGUUUAAUUCGAAGCUACGCGAAGAACCUUACCAGGUCUUGACAUCUUCUGCCAAUCUUAGAGAUAAGACGUUCCCUUCGGGGACAGAAUGACAGGUGGUGCAUGGUUGUCGUCAGCUCGUGUCGUGAGAUGUUGGGUUAAGUCCCGCAACGAGCGCAACCCUUAUUAUCAGUUGCCAGCAUUCAGUUGGGCACUCUGGGUAGACUGCCGGUGACAAACCGGAGGAAGG
rnacentral:rRNA from 1 species